rnacentral:lncRNA from 13 species
UCGUGUUCUUUCCUAUGAAUAUAUUUGCAUAUUUAUUAUUUAGUACAAGUAGUUUUGUCAAAUAUGCACUCAAAAUUUAAUUACAAUUUGUGUAUAUGUCCCUUAAGUGUAUAGAAAUUACAAAUCAAUAUUUAAAAGUUUCCUUGGUCCUAUCCAGAAUGAUCUGUUGCCACAUGUGAUGCUUAAUACUGAGUGUCAACUUGAAUGGAAUGAGGGAUACAAAGUAUUAAUCCUGGGUGCGUCUGUGUGAAUAUUGCCAAAAGGGAUUAAUUACCAUUUGAGUCAGUGGGCUGGAAAGAGAUCUACUGUUAAUCUGGUGGGUACAAUCUAAUCAGCUGCCAGCAAAUAACAAGCAGGCAGGAAAGAAAAACCUGAAAAAGGAGAGACUGGCCUAACCUCCCAGCCUACAUCUUUCUCCCCUGCUGGAUGCUUCCUGCUCUCGAACAUCAGACCCCAGUUCUUUAGUGUUGGAACUUGGACAGGCUUUCCUUCCUCCUCAGCUUGCAGACAGCCUAUGUGAGACCUUGUGAUCAUGUAUUCUACUGGAACCUGUCGUUCCUGAUUCCCAAUAAAAAGCAUCUGCAGUAUGGUGUUUCCAGGGGAAGAAUGAUUGAAGCUUGUGACUGGUCUCAGAUUCUUUGUUUCUGAAGAGGAAUGAAAUUAAUAAGAUAUCCAUGUAAGAAGAGAUUGAUCAUGAGAACUGGCUCACGCAAUUAUGGAGGCUGAAGAUUCUCAUGAUCUGCAAUCUGCAAGCUGGAGAUUGAGAAAAGCCACUGGUGUAAUUCAGUCUUAGUCCAAAGACUUCAACAAGGAAAAUCAAUGAUAUGAAUCAGAGUCUGAAUGCAAAAGAAAAUGAGAUGAAGUAUCCCUGCAGUAAGUCAGUAAAAAGAAAAAGUGUUUUGGAACUGAACCUGAAAUAUCACCAAGAACACGUUAUUUCUAGAAGAAAACAACAAGCCACUGACUUGGAGAAAAUAUUUGCAAGACACAUAUCUGACAAAUAAAGUGUGCUCAAAAUAAAGCCCUAAAGAUGCUCUCCAAAUGGAACAGUACAGCCUGGAUGACAGCAUAACUGUUUAUAGCAUGGUUCACUGAAUAUGUAAAGCCUGCCCUUAAGAUCUACUACUCAGAAAGAGGAAUUAUUCUCAACAUAUACUGAUCAUAGACAAUGCACAUGGCUACUCAAAAGCUGUAAUAGAGAUAGACAAGAAGCUUGGUUUCAUGUCUGCUACCAUAACAUCCAAUCUACUGCCCCCAAAAUUAGAAGUAAUUUCAACUUUUGAGUCCCAUUUUUUAAGAAAUAUAUUUUUAAGGCUAUAGCUACCAGAGAUACUGAUUCCUAUGAUGGAGCUGGCCAAAGUUAAUUGAAAGUUUUCUGGAAAGAAUUCACCAUUCUAGAUGCCAUUAAGGACAGUUGUUAUUCAAAGAAGGUCAAAAUACCAACAUGAACAGGAGUUUGGAUGAAGUUAAUUUCAACCCUUAAGGAUGAAUCUGAAUGGUUCAGAACCUCAGUGGAGGCCGUAACUGCAGAUGUAAUGAAAAUAACAAGAGAAUACGAAUUUAAAAUGGAGGCCGAAGUUGUGAGUGACUUGCUUCAAUCUCUUGAUAUUAUUUGAACUGAAGAAUAUUUGCUUCUUAUGGAUGACAAAAUGAUUCUUGAAAUUUACCUCUUAUGAAGGCGCUGUGAACAUUGUGGAUAUGACAAAAUAUUGAGAAUAAUAUCUAAACUUACUUGAUAAAGCAGCAACAGGGUUGCAGAGGAUUGACUAUCAUUUUAAAAGUUCUCCUGUAGAGAAAACGACAUCAAAGAGCGUUACAUGCUACAGAGAAAUGCUUCAUGAAAGGAGAGUCAUUUGAUUUAGCAAACUUUACUUCUGUCUUACAGAAAUUGCCGCAGACAUCGCAGCCCUCAGCAACCACCACCCUGAUGAGUCAGCAGCCAUCAACAUCAACGCAAGACCCUCAACCAGCAAAAAGAUUCUGACUUGCUGAAGACUCUUAAGACUGUUAGCAUUCUUUUAGUAAUAAGACAUUUAAGAUAUAUACAUUGUUCGUUUUAGAUAUAAUGUUGUGGCACAUUUAAUAGACAAAGUAUAGUGUAAACCACUUGUGUAUGUACUGGGAAACCAGAAAAUGUAAGUGACUCACUUUUUGAGGUGGUUUAAAACUGAGCCACAGUAUUUUCAAGGUAGGCUUGUAGUUUAUGUGUUAAUAGGAGGUUGGGUGAUUGAUGUAGGUGGAGUGCUGAAGGAGAGAAGAGGACCCAAGUAAUAAAUAAAGCGAAAACAGCUAACCA